AAUAUUGGACAAUGGGCGCAAGCCUGAUCCAGCCAUACCGCGUGGGUGAAGAAGGCCUUCGGGUUGUAAAGCCCUUUUGUUGGGAAAGAAAAGCAAUCGGUUAAUACCCGGUUGUCCUGACGGUACCCAAAGAAUAAGCACCGGCUAACUUCGUGCCAGCAGCCGCGGUAAUACGAAGGGUGCAAGCGUUACUCGGAAUUACUGGGCGUAAAGCGUGCGUAGGUGGUUUGUUAAGUCUGAUGUGAAAGCCCUGGGCUCAACCUGGGAAUUGCAUUGGAUACUGGCAGGCUAGAGUGCGGUAGAGGGUAGUGGAAUUCCCGGUGUAGCAGUGAAAUGCGUAGAGAUCGGGAGGAACAUCUGUGGCGAAGGCGACUGCCUGGACCAGCACUGACACUGAGGGACGAAAGCGUGGGGAGCAAACAGG
rnacentral:rRNA from 1 species